rnacentral:tRNA from 1 species
GGCGCGGAGGCUGAGCAGUAAAGCGCUUGGCUUCCGAACCAGGGUUCCCAGGUUUCAAUCCUGGCCAAGACU